UCUAGAGAGGCCUCCUCCAUGUAGGCCUCCCUGAAGCCUGAACUCGAGUGCCGGAGGAAGGAAGGGAAGGAAGGAAGGAAGGAGGCAGGCAGAGUGGCCAGCGCUGGUUUUCUCUUGUCCACCACAGUUCUCUGAAGACCCAACUGCCCAGGCCAGGCCAGCCUUUGCCAGUAAUGGAGAUUGUGAGCCACUUUAGAACAGCGAGCCGUCUUCAGACCCUCUUGGGGCACGCAGUUUGUGGAGCAAGAUCCCUGGCGGAACAGAAGGUCUGCGCGACCGCGCAAGGGCGAGAACCACACAGAGCUGCACGGCAGCGCGGCCAUGAUAUACAAUCAAGCUAUACAGUCACUACCGCACAAUUCUGUUCCCACUGUUUUUGUGCUCGCACAACGGCGCUCCUGCACAAACGUCAUGUUCCGCCGCGGGCAUAAGGUUGCACAGUAUGCCAGGGAGAAGCAAAACGAAAGUCAGUAGCAGUGAACAACAGAAAGCCCAUGCCUAAACCUCUGCUGUGCUGCUACUGCUGCAGAAGCCAGCUGGAAAACGCCUCUUUGAGACAGGAGAGCAACCCGCCCCGUAGAACAUUUUACCUGCCAGCUCCUGCUGCCGCCUGCUCAGGCUUUUCCCUCUUGUUUUCAAGAACUUCAAGACCCAGCAAGCAGUGGCGUGUAGCUGCCAAGCUUCCAGGCAAGCAGAGGCGCAAAAGGCUUUGGGGGGCCACAAGAGGGCCGUAGAGGCUUACUUUUGAGACGAAUUGCUGA